rnacentral:rRNA from 1 species
GACGAACGCUGGCGGCGUGCUUAACACAUGCAAGUCGAACGGUGAUGCUCCAGCUUGCUGGAGUGGAUCAGUGGCGAACGGGUGAGUAACACGUGAGCAACCUGCCCCAGACUCUGGAAUAAGCGCUGGAAACGGCGUCUAAUACUGGAUACGAAACUGGCCCGCAUGGGCAUGGUUUGGAAAGUUUUUCGGUUUGGGAUGGGCUCGCGGCCUAUCAGCUUGUUGGUGAGGUAAUGGCUCACCAAGGCGACGACGGGUAGCCGGCCUGAGAGGGCGACCGGCCACACUGGGACUGAGACACGGCCCAGACUCCUACGGGAGGCAGCAGUGGGGAAUAUUGCACAAUGGGCGAAAGCCUGAUGCAGCGACGCCGCGUGGGGGAUGACGGCCUUCGGGUUGUAAACCUCCUUCAGCAGGGAAGAAGCGAAAGUGACGGUACCUGCAGAAGAAGCACCGGCUAACUACGUG